UACGAAGGGGGCGAGCGUUGUUCGGAUUUACUGGGCGUAAAGGGCGUGUAGGCGGUUGGUCAAGUCCGAUGUGAAAGCCCGGGGCUCAGCUUCGGAAGUGCAUCGGAAACUAGCCAGCUGGAGCGCGAUAGAGGAGGGCGGAAUUCCUGGUGUAGCGGUGAAAUGCGUAGAUAUCAGGAGGAACACCGGCGGCGAAGGCGGCCCUCUGGAUCGUUGCUGACGCUGAGACGCGAAAGCGUGGGGAGCAAACAGG
rnacentral:rRNA from 1 species